CUCAGACAGAUGGUAUUGACAGAAAACAACAAGGGGGAAAGCUCCCAGGAGCUGAUGCCACAGGAGUCAAAUACUACAGAGUGGCUGUAGUGAGUCUGGGGCUGCUGUGUGCUCUCCUACUGGUUGUCAUUAUAUGGAUGGGCACCAAACACACUGCAGAGAGAGACCAGCAACAAAGGAAUAAGGACCUACUGCAAUUAACUAACAACAACUUGACCCAAGAGAAAGACCACUGCCAGGCAAGAAACACCAACCUAACUGCAGAGAAAGAGAUGCUUCAAAAGGCCUCUGGUUGGAGGUGUUCCGAUUCCAGUUGCUACUACAUUUCAACCAGCCUGA